GAUGAACGCUGGCGGCGUGCCUAAUACAUGCAAGUCGAGCGAACGGACGAGAAGCUUGCUUUUCUGAUGUUAGCGGCGGACGGGUGAGUAACACGUGGGUAACCUACCUAUAAGACUGGGAUAACUUCGGGAAACCGGAGCUAAUACCGGAUAAUAUUUUGAACCGCAUGGUUCAAAAGUGAAAGUCGGUCUUGCUGUCACUUAUAGAUGGAUCCGCGCUGCAUUAGCUAGUUGGUAAGGUAACGGCUUACCAAGGCAACGAUGCAUAGCCGACCUGAGAGGGUGAUCGGCCACACUGGAACUGAGACACGGUCCAGACUCCUACGGGAGGCAGCAGUAGGGAAUCUUCCGCAAUGGGCGAAAGCCUGACGGAGCAACGCCGCGUGAGUGAUGAAGGUCUUCGGAUCGUAAAACUCUGUUAUUAGGGAAGAACAUAUGUGUAAGUAACUGUGCACAUCUUGACGGUACCUAAUCAGAAAGCCACGGCUAACUACGUG
rnacentral:rRNA from 1 species